rnacentral:misc_RNA from 1 species
GAUGAAGAACGCAGCGAAAUGCGAUAAGUAAUGCGAAUUGCAGAAUUCCAGUGAGUCAUCGAAUCUUUGAACGCACAUUGCGCCCGCCAGUAUUCUGGCGGGCAUGCCUGUCCGAGCGUCAUUUCAACCCUCGGGCCCCCCUCUGCGGGCGGCCCGGCGUUGGGGCUCAGGCGCCGUCUCUGCUCGGCGCCUGUCCCCUAAAUGCAGUGGCGGCCUCGCCGCUGCCUCCUCCGCGUAGUAGCACAAACCUCGCGGCUGGAAGGCGGCGCGGCCACGCCGUAAAACCCCCCAACUUUACCAAGGUUGACCUCGGAUCAGGUAGGAAUACCCGCUGAACUUAAGCAUAUCAAUAAGCGGAGGA